rnacentral:rRNA from 1 species
UUUGUUGGUGGGGUAAUGGCCUACCAAGACGAUGAUGUGUAGCUGGACUGAGAGGUCGAACAGCCACAUUGGGACUGAGACACGGCCCAAACUCCUACGGGAGGCAGCAGUAGGGAAUUUUCGGCAAUGGAGGAAACUCUGACCGAGCAACGCCGCGUGAACGAUGAAGUAUUUCGGUAUGUAAAGUUCUUUUAUUGAAGAAGAAAAAAUAGUGGAAAAACUAUCUUGACGUUAUUCAAUGAAUAAGCCCCGGCUAACUAUGUGCCAGCAGCCGCGGUAAGACAUAGGGGGCGAGCGUUAUCCGGAAUUAUUGGGCGUAAAGGGUGCGUAGGCGGUUAGGAAAGUCUAUAAUUUAAUUUCAGUGCUUAACGCUGUCUUGUUAUAGAAACUACCUUGACUAGAGUUAGAUAGAGGCAAGCGGAAUUCCAUGUGUAGCGGUAAAAUGUGUAAAUAUAUGGAGGAACACCAGAAGCGUAGGCGGCUUGCUGGGUCUUGACUGACGCUGAGGCACGAAAGCGUGGGUAGCAAACAGGAUUAGAUACCCUGGUAGUCCACGCCGUAAACGAUGAGUACUAAGUGUCGGGAUAAAACUCGGUACUGAAGUUAACACAUUAAGUACUCCGCCUGAGUAGUACGUACGCAAGUAUGAAACUUAAAGGAAUUGACGGGACUCCGCACAAGCGGUGGAUCAUGUUGUUUAAUUCGAAGAUACACGAAAAAUCUUACCAGGUCUUGACAUGCUCUGCAAAGCUAUAGAAAUAUAGUGGAGGUUAUCAGGGACACAGGUGGUGCAUGGUUGUCGUCAGUUUGUGUCGUGAGAUGUUAGGUUAAGUCCUAAAACGAGCGCAACCCUUGUCGUUAGUUACCAGCACGUAAUGGUGGGCACUUUAACGAGACUGCCAAUUAAACAUUGGAGGAAGGUGAGGAUUACGUCAAAUCAUCAUGCCCCUUAUGAUCUGGGCUACAAACGUGAUACAAUGGCUGUUACAAAGAGUAGCUGAAGCGCGAGUUUUUAGCCAAUCUCAAAAA